UACGUAGGGUGCGAGCGUUAAUCGGAAUUACUGGGCGUAAAGCGUGCGCAGGCGGUUAUUUAAGUCAGGUGUGAAAGCCCUGGGCUUAACCUAGGAAUUGCGCUUGAGACUGGAUAGCUUGGAGUGCGGCAGAGGGAGGUGGAAUUUCCGGUGUAGCAGUGAAAUGCGUAGAGUAUGCGGAGGAACACCGAUGGCGAAGGCAACUCCCCUGGGCCUGCACUGACGCUCAUGCACGAAAGCGUGGGGAGCAAACAGGAUUAGAACUACCCGAGUCAGUC
rnacentral:rRNA from 1 species